UAGGUGAACCUGCGGAGGGAUC
rnacentral:rRNA from 1 species